GUCCACGCCGUAAACGAUGGAUGCUAGCCGUUGGUAAGCAUGCUUAUCAGUGGCGCAGCUAACGCAUUAAGCGUCCCGCCUGGGGAGUACGGCCGCAAGGUUGAAACUCAAAGGAAUUGACGGGGGCCCCGCACAAGCGGUGGAGCAUGUGGUUUAAUUCGACGCAACGCGCAGAACCUUACCAGGGUUUGACAUCCCGCGCUAAACUCAGAGAUGGGUGGUCCCCGCAAGGGGCGCGGAGACAGGUGCUGCAUGGCUGUCGU
rnacentral:rRNA from 1 species